rnacentral:lncRNA from 1 species
GUUGAUCACCAAACUGUGAAUGUCAUGGGGUGCAUUUUAUUUACUUUUUUCAAGUAGAAAUAGUUGCUGUUCUUGCAAUUCUAGGAUUGUGGAGCCUUGAGGCACCAAGACUCCAAGGAGUCGCAGCGUCUUUUGUUUUGGUAAGAGAAGUGAAUGGAAAGUUAGACAGAAACCGGAGGACACCACCAUCUGGGAGGAUGGAGCAGAGGUUCCCUGGGCAGAUGUGGGAUGGCCACUUCGUUUCAGAGGGGAGAGUGGUGCCUCCUGAAAAACAACAGCAAACACCUCUCAGGGGCAGGAGCUUAACUGGAACAUAUUCUCCAGUAGCAUGGACCAGUUUCGGAGACGUGCAGGAUCUGUCCUCUGACAUCCGUAUUCAGAACCAGGCCGUUCUGCUCAUCAGACUCCUUUGCACCAUCUGGAUUUGCUGAGAAAUGAUUUUGCAAGAAAAAAAGCUGGGGGGAGGAUCAUUACUCAGCUGUUGGCAGGUAACACCCGUACAUGCGCGUGCUGAAAAGGUCACAGAAGUUGCAGCGUUAAGGGGCUGCUACAGAGCAUGCGUACAGCCAGGCUUCCUGGGCCUCAGCUGAGGUUUCCUGGUUCUUGCUAGAUCUACCGAAAUUGAAAACUAGUACAUACAUGUGGAAAUAGAGAUUAUCCUGAGAAUUUUAAGUAAUAGUAAUAUGUGGAGAUUAAAAUGGACCCUGACUGUGUUUCCUUCUCCUUCCAUUCCUUCCCUUUUUCAAUGCAUUAUUCUCCCCUAGUACCAGGUAACCUCCCUUGAAUAUCUUUACUGAAAGGGUUGUUAGGCAUUGGAAUGGGCUGCCCAGGGAAGUGGUUCAGUCACCAUCCCUGGAGGUCUUUAAAAGACGUUUAGAUGCAGAGUUUAGGGAUAUGGUUUAGUGGAGGACUAGUUAGUGUUAGGUCAGAGGUUGGACUGGAUGGUCUUGGAGGUCUCUUCCAACCUGGAUAAUUCUGUGAUUCUACAGAUAAUCCCCUGCUUCAUGGGUGAGCUGCAAACACUGUGAUCUCUCCCAUGAAGGAAGAAAAGCCUUAGUAGAGAAGCAGAGGCAUUCCGUAAUUUGGGGAGGGAGGCACUUGAAAUAAUCCUUGAAUGUAUGUUUCAUGAUCACAGAGAGCCAGAAUUUCAGAUGUUUCCCUUAAGUUUCAAUUUCUCAGCCUGCUAUACCCAACUCUGAGGCACCAGACAUCACAUACCCGAUUUCUUCCAUUGUCUUAGGUAAAAGUUUUUUAUAAGCAGCAUAAAGAACAGGCAUUUUUAGGACCAUGCUGUGAGGAGAGAUCCUCAGCCCUUUCUGCAGUGAAAAUAGACUACUACUCUGCCUGUUUACAUCCUUUCCAAAGGUAUUUCCUAAGAGAUGCUACAGCAGGACUGAACAGGUAUCUGGUUCCUUCUGUGCUAUUGUAGAGAAGAGGUUGCAAACAAGGGCUAAUGCGGUGGUUUACCUGA